rnacentral:rRNA from 1 species
AACAGGAUUAGAUACCCUGGUAGUCCACGCCGUAAACGAUGAGUGCUAAGUGUUGGAGGGUUUCCGCCCUUCAGUGCUGCAGCAAACGCAUUAAGCACUCCGCCUGGGGAGUACGACCGCAAGGUUGAAACUCAAAGGAAUUGACGGGGGCCCGCACAAGCGGUGGAGCAUGUGGUUUAAUUCGAAGCAACGCGAAGAACCUUACCAGGUCUUGACAUCCUUUGACCACUCUAGAGAUAGAGCUUCCCCUUCGGGGGCAAAGUGACAGGUGGUGCAUGGUUGUCGUCAGCUCGUGUCGUGAGAUGUUGGGUUAAGUCCCGCAACGAGCGCAACCCUUAUUGUUAGUUGCCAUCAUUUAGUUGGGCACUCUAGCGAGACUGCCGGUGACAAACCGGAGGAAGGUGGGGAUGACGUCAAAUCAUCAUGCCCCUUAUGACCUGGGCUACACACGUGCUACAAUGGGAAGUACAACGAGUUGCGAAGUCGCGAGGCUAAGCUAAUCUCUUAAAGCUUCUCUCAG